ACGAACGCUGGCGGCGCGCCUAACACAUGCAAGUCGAACGGAGCUUAGAGAGCUUGCUUUUUAAGCUUAGUGGCGAACGGGUGAGUAACGCGUGAGUAACCUGCCCUAGAGUGGGGGACAACAGUUGGAAACGACUGCUAAUACCGCAUAAGCCCACGGUGCCGCAUGGUACUGAGGGAAAAGGAUUUAUUCGCUUUAGGAUGGACUCGCGUCCAAUUAGCUAGUUGGUGAGGUAACGGCCCACCAAGGCGACGAUUGGUAGCCGGACUGAGAGGUUGAACGGCCACAUUGGGACUGAGACACGGCCCAGACUCCUACGGGAGGCAGCAGUGGGGGAUAUUGCACAAUGGGGGAAACCCUGAUGCAGCGACGCCGCGUGGAGGAAGAAGGUUUUCGGAUUGUAAACUCCUGUCGUUAGGGACGAUAAUGACGGUACCUAACAAGAAAGCACCGGCUAACUACGUGCCAGCAGCCGCGGUAAAACGUAGGGUGCAAGCGUUGUCCGGAAUUACUGGGUGUAAAGGGAGCGCAGGCGGGAAGACAAGUUGGAAGUGAAAACCAUGGGCUCAACCCAUGAAUUGCUUUCAAAACUGUUUUUCUUGAGUAGUGCAGAGGUAGAUGGAAUUCCCGGUGUAGCGGUGGAAUGCGUAGAUAUCGGGAGGAACACCAGUGGCGAAGGCGGUCUACUGGGCACCAACUGACGCUGAGGCUCGAAAGCAUGGGUAGCAAACAGGAUUAGAUACCCUGGUAGUCCAUGCCGUAAACGAUGAUUACUAGGUGUUGGGGGAUUGACCCCCUCAGUGCCGCAGUUAACACAAUAAGUAAUCCACCUGGGGAGUACGACCGCAAGGUUGAAACUCAAAGGAAUUGACGGGGGCCCGCACAAGCAGUGGAGUAUGUGGUUUAAUUCGAAGCAACGCGAAGAACCUUACCAGGUCUUGACAUCCGAUGCAUAGCACAGAGAUGUGUGAAAUCCUUCGGGACAUCGAGACAGGUGGUGCAUGGUUGUCGUCAGCUCGUGUCGUGAGAUGUUGGGUUAAGUCCCGCAACGAGCGCAACCCUUAUUGCCAGUUACUACGUUAAGAGGACUCUGGCGAGACUGCCGUUGACAAAACGGAGGAAGGUGGGGAUGACGUCAAAUCAUCAUGCCCUUUAUGUCUUGGGCUACACACGUACUACAAUGGCUGUAACAGAGAGAAGCAACACCGCGAGGUAGAGCGAAACUCCAAAAGCAGUCUCAGUUCGGAUUGAAGGCUGAAAUUCGCCUUCAUGAAGCCGGAAUUGCUAGUAAUGGCAGGUCAGCAUACUGCCGUGAAUACGUUCCCGGGCCUUGUACACACCGCCCGUCACACCAUGAGAGUUGGGAAUACCCGAAGCCUGUGAGCCAACUAAUUUAUUAGAGGCAGCAGUCGAAGGUAGAAUCAAUGAUUGGGGUG
rnacentral:rRNA from 1 species